rnacentral:rRNA from 1 species
AUUGAACGCUGGCGGAAUGCUUUACACAUGCAAGUCGAACGGCAGCACGGGGGCAGCCCUGGUGGCGCGUGGCGAACGGGUGAGUAAUACAUCGGAACGUGCCCGGUCGUGGGGGAUAACGUAGCGAAAGUUACGCUAAUACCGCAUACGAUCUGAGGAUGAAAGCGGGGGACCUUCGGGCCUCGCGCGAUCGGAGCGGCCGAUGUCAGAUUAGGUAGUUGGUGGGGUAAAGGCCUACCAAGCCGACGAUCUGUAGCUGGUCUGAGAGGACGACCAGCCACACUGGGACUGAGACACGGCCCAGACUCCUACGGGAGGCAGCAGUGGGGAAUGUUGGACAAUGGGCGCAAGCCUGAUCCAGCCAUUCCGCGUGCAGGACGAAGGCCUUCGGGUUGUAAACUGCUUUUGUACGGAACGAAAAGGCUCUGGCUAAUACCUGGGGCUCAUGACGGUACCGUAAGAAUAAGCACCGGCUAACUACGUG